UGCCUCCUCUUGGUGAACCUCCUCCCCAAGAGCAGAUUCCUGACUCGUGGCGAGCGGCUCCUGCAGUCUUUCUCUCAGUGCCCAGCGCACCACCCAGAGACAACACGCGGCAUGCCUGUCAUCGUCCCUGGGGCGCUGCCGGGGGCGAAUGGGGCGACGAGAGGAGUCAGUAGCAUCAAGGUCCUCCGAAGCUCACUGCUCAGUGUCUGAGAGGCAGCACCCCUCUCUUCCGCAAGUCCUCGCUCUCCACCUCACUCCAUCGCUGGGUGACUUCCCAUGAUACCCCUCGUAAGAUAAACUAAGCCUGGUCUGAUGACCUUGCAGCAGCCCUGGCCCUCCUGCUGGCUCCCCUCCCUCCCCCUCUCUCCAGCUCUAACGCAGCUGGAAAGGGGAAAUCCAAGGAUGUGAGGCACCAAGAGGUGACCUUGGAGCUGGGAAAGCCGCUCCCAUCGCACAGAACACGUCCGACGGAGCUAGUGCCAAGAGGCUGAGAAAGGAAGGCUUUCACGGGGAUCUGUACAGUCAGAAGUCAGGGAAACAAGACCAAGGGCAGGAGCAGAUGAUACAGGUCUCCACCUGGGACGUCGAGGAGACUGGCCCCGUUGUCCUCUGAAGCGGACGGUCACCGAAAUACCUGCAGUGUGUCUCAGGCGCGCACCGCUGCCAGGGCGCCUCAACCCUGCGCAGUCAGAGGCAACCAAGUACAGGGUGGCGGGAGGGAGGCGGCUUCAUCUUAGCCAGCUGUGGGCCUGCACGUCUAGUCCCUCGUUUUCUCCUAAGCAUCAUCAGUAUGAGAUCCGGAAGAGGAGGGGCAGAGAGCGGCUGGAGCUGCUUCUGUGGGACGCCCUGGCAGUGGGAAUGACCAAUGGGACCUCAAAAAGUGUGCGCGUCUGUUUCCACAGGACCUGCAGGGCACAAGGGGCCUGGGUGUGGCCCACAGCCAGAGACCAGGAUAAACCAAGGCUGGCUACAGGCCUUCCUCAGGCUCUUCAUUCACUCCCAGAAGGCCAUGCAGCAUCCUUCUGGGCUCCCCAGACUCAACAAAAGGAAGAUUCCUUUCCUAUCUAGAACCCAAAGCCCCUGCCUGCCUGGAGCCAGGGAUACCUAGAAAGAGCCCGAACCAAAUGCUGUGAGCUCUGCACACGUGUCAACCUCUCCCGCCGUCUUCAUCAGCUUCCUCUCUGCAUUUACGCUGUUCUGGCUCCACAGGCAGCAGCCACCCCAGGCAUCACAUGUCUGGGGGCACUUAAGGUUCUUAUUUUCUCUCAAUAUUGGCGUGUCCUUUAAAUGUCCCCAAUUUUACAAUCCUUUGCCAUCAACAGAUGCUCAGGUUGUGGGGAAGGAAGCAGUCAAGGGCUUCUGGGAUCUGGGCCAAAGCCCUCAUCCAAGGUCAUCACUGGCGGUCAGGUCAGGACCAGGAAGGAAGGGAAGUGAUGCCCAGUGAGAGACGCUGCCUCCUCUUCUAGCUUCUUCGUCAUCGGAGUCACCGUCACCUCAGCAGAGGGAGAGUUUUCUAAACUACUUCAUUCUUUGGCCAUUUCGUACAUGUACAGAAUAAAUUCUGAUCACACGCAUGGGUCCACCCUGACUUGUCUUCCCACACCCCCACCAACCAACCACCCCCUCCCUCCUACCCAGUCCCUAUUACCUGCCAUUAUGUCCUCCCCCCACGGGGGGGGGGGCCGGGGUGGCUGUGUUUGUAAGGCAUAUGCAUUUAGAUUUAGGCUCCAUCCCUAAGACAGCUCUAUGUAUGAGAAUAACUAUGAAAUCUGAACUCCAAGUGCCCUGGUCCUAGGCAUUCUGGAUGAGGGCUGCUGAGUCUCUGCUAUCUUCUAAGACACACGUGCCAUGAAGCCCACUGACUGGGGAACAGGUGUCCCUUCGACCACGCCCUCUGCUCUACAUGCCUCGCUCGGGCUCUGCCAGAUCUAGAGGGCCGAAUCCACCUCCGUCCCAGCACAGUCUGAAAACACGCUGUGCCCAGUCCUUCUCAAGGGCUAACAAGCUCAUGCCACCAGUGUCUGCCAGGUAAGAUCGUUAGAUCAUUCAUACACAUG